ACAACUUUCAACAAUGGAUCUCUUGGCUCUCGCAUCGAUGAAGAACGCAGCGAAAUGCGAUAAGUAGUGUGAAUUGCAGAAUUCAGUGAAUCAUCGAAUCUUUGAACGCAACUUGCGCUCCUUGGUAUUCUGAGGAGCAUGCCUGUUUGAGUGUCAUUAUA
rnacentral:rRNA from 1 species